AGUAAUGUCUGGGAAACUGCCUGAUGGAGGGGGAUAACUACUGGAAACGGUAGCUAAUACCGCAUAACGUCGCAAGACCAAAGAGGGGGACCUUCGGGCCUCUUGCCAUCAGAUGUGCCCAGAUGGGAUUAGCUAGUAGGUGGGGUAACGGCUCACCUAGGCGACGAUCCCUAGCUGGUCUGAGAGGAUGACCAGCCACACUGGAACUGAGACACGGUCCAGACUCCUACGGGAGGCAGCAGUGGGGAAUAUUGCACAAUGGGCGCAAGCCUGAUGCAGCCAUGCCGCGUGUAUGAAGAAGGCCUUCGGGUUGUAAAGUACUUUCAGCGGGGAGGAAGGUGUUGUGGUUAAUAACCGCAGCAAUUGACGUUACCCGCAGAAGAAGCACCGGCUAACUCCGUGCCAGCAGCCGCGGUAAUACGGAGGGUGCAAGCGUUAAUCGGAAUUACUGGGCGUAAAGCGCACGCAGGCGGUCUGUCAAGUCGGAUGUGAAAUCCCCGGGCUCAACCUGGGAACUGCAUUCGAAACUGGCAGGCUAUAGUCUUGUAGACGGGGGUAGAAUUCCAGGUG
rnacentral:rRNA from 1 species